UGGGCAACCUGCCCCUGACUCUGGGAUAACCCCCGGGAAACCGGAGCUAAUACCGGAUACUCUCGGCCGAUCACAUGGCUGGCCGAGGAAAGGUCCGGCGGUCAGGGAUGGGCUCGCGGCCUAUCAGCUUGUUGGCGAGGUAAUGGCUCACCAAGGCUUCGACGGGUAGCCGGCCUGAGAGGGCGACCGGCCACACUGGGACUGAGAUACGGUCCAGACUCCUACGGGAGGCA
rnacentral:rRNA from 1 species